AGAAACAGGCAGCCUGACUAGAGAACAAACUACCAAUUAACGAGCGAGGAAACAGGGCCAGAGAAUUGGAACAAAAUACAAGGCUGCCUCUGAAAGGAAUAUCUUUGUGCUGAUGUGUCCAUCAAGAGAACAUACACAGAAGUGACACUUGCCAGUAAUUUGCAAGCAGAUGGAACUUCAAUAUGGCAAUAGAGAAAGAAUCAAUUAGACCAGAGUCUCCUCAGGAAGACUUUCUAUAGGUGGACGGUCCCCUGGAGAGCCCGCUGUGUUGGAAGAUGUAGAAUAUUCAUAUAUCUGGUGAGCAUCUGCUAGAUGCCAGGGUUGGGGAGAGUCAAGUUGAAGCAAGCAUGAACCCUCAAGGACCUACCAUUUCAAGGCAAGAAAUAGAUACAAAUACAGCGUAAUUAUCUCUCCAAUUAAAGAGCAACCAAGGGACAACUGAACUGGAGGUUCUGCAGAAUUACAACUAAGCACGCAGCCGAGGAAUCUACUCAGCUUUGAUCUCUUAUCGCUCUGCACACACAGCCCUUUCUCUGUAAGGCUAGCUGCUCUCAGCAUCACUGUGUCUAAUCAAACGUGUCACACCUCCACUGAGAAAAUAUUUACUGGAUAGCUACUAGACAUAAGGAUGCAGAAAUGAAUUAGAAAAAUUCCUCGCCCUUGUUCAAAGCUAUGCUGGCUCUUAGAACAUCUGAGCCCCCACUGUUUCAUCUUUAGAGGAUCCCAGCUGCUGGGGUGUGAGGCCAGUGCUGGAGCCAGCAGUCUCUGACCCAGAAGGGACCUGAGGUGCUAAAGAAAAUUCUGGAGGCUGAGAAGUCCAAAACCAAGUCACCAGCAGAUUCAGCGUCUGGGGUACAAGCUGGAAAAGGGGAAAAUGAAUCAUGCUACAGGCCAAGUGUCCAUCACUGAUUCCCAGAGAUGCCCUUUGUGUGGUAGGCACUUCCAUGUGGACUCGCUACAGAGGUCAUAAGACCCUAAUUCCAGAGGGCCCUACCCUAUAACCAGAAGGAAGAACUAUUGCACAGAGAAUCUAAGAAGAAUCUAGACAGACAGCCCUUGCUGGAUUUCUCCACUCUGUUAGCAUUCGAUCAUUUGCCUUUUGUCCAGUCAUAUUUCUGCAUGGCUGUCCAUACUUUGUUGAACCUAAGCACAAAAUGGAAAGUUUUCCCUGUAUCUUUGGGUCGUCAUUCUGAAGGCUCCCAUGUUAUGUAAAACUAUGAUCAAAUAAAUAUGCAUGCCUUUUCUCCUAUAA
rnacentral:lncRNA from 1 species